AUGCCUGCUUUGGCCAAGGCUCCUCAUUUCAGAAUGGCGCGCCUUUGGUCGCUCGCGGGACUCCUCGUUUCUCUGCGCUCGCCGCUGAGCGCCGCGCUCGCGCUGGACUCGAGCCCGGGCUGCCCGGGCGAGCGCGCGACGCCAGCGGAGAUUCCCGCCGCGUCGGGCGCGCUCUCGGCGUGCGCGCUGACCUGCAGCGCGCGGACUUACCGGCAGCUGCUGGAGAAGAGAGACGCGCGGACCGUGCGGUUCAGCGCGGCGACGGCAGGAAAGCACGGUGACCACUGCUGGUCAACAGAAGUGAUGCAUGGUGACAGCGAGAGCUUACAGCGCGCUUACGUCGUGUUGCCUGUUGACACGGAACUAGCGGCGUGGGAGCCGCUCAGCCUGAGAACCACCUGUCCUGUUCACCACGAUGCACUGAAACCCCACCACGGUGCAGCAGCAGCCAUGAGCAGGGACUGUGGUUUGACCUUUGAUGUCACUACAUUCUUCAGCAGUGGCAGAAGUUUUCCGCUUUUCUGCAUCGAGAUCGUUCCACAGCUAAGCAGCUUGAGAGGAGCUCUGAGGGCUUUGUGGUAGCUUCCAUUUUUUGCUGCUAUGUAUUUCAGUACUUAACGUUUUAAUUUUUCCACCAAGACCCACCUUUUGUCACACACACACACACACACACACACACACACACACACACACACACACGACCACUUGUCCCAAGUGGGGUCGCGGCAAACUGGAGCCUAACCCGGCAACACAGGGCACAAGGCUGGAGGGGAAGGGGACGCACCCCAGACAGGACACCAGCCCGCCGCAAGGCACCCCAAGCAGGACUCAAACCCCAGACCCACCACACAGUAGGCCCUAGCCAAACCCGCUGCAUCACUGUAUCCUCUUGUAUCAUACAUAAAAUUAAAUUUUUUUUCUGAGGUUUGUAGAUGUAUGGCAACUGCUUGUAAAGUAAUAUUGCAUUAAUAAUAAAAAAUGUUUUUUUCCUGUAUUUUCA
rnacentral:lncRNA from 1 species